UUAGCUAGUUGGUGAGGUAACGGCUUACCAAGGCGACGAUCUGUAGCGGGUCUGAGAGGAUGAUCCGCCACACUGGAACUGAGACACGGUCCAGACUCCUACGGGAGGCAGCAGUGGGGAAUUUUGGACAAUGGGGGCAACCCUGAUCCAGCCAUGCCGCGUGAGUGAAGAAGGCCUUCGGGUUGUAAAGCUCUUUCGGCCGGGAAGAAAUCGCAUGGGCCAAUACCCUGUGUGGAUGACGGUACCGGAAUAAGAAGCACCGGCUAACUACGUGCCAGCAGCCGCGGUAAUACGUAGGGUGCGAGCGUUAAUCGGAAUUACUGGGCGUAAAGCGUGCGCAGGCGGUUUUGUAAGACAGGCGUGAAAUCCCCGGGCUCAACCUGGGAACUGCGUUUGUGACUGCAAGGCUAGAGUACGGCAGAGGGGGGUGGAAUUCCACGUGUAGCAGUGAAAUGCGUAGAGAUGUGGAGGAACACCAAUGGCGAAGGCAGCCCCCUGGGUCGAUACUGACGCUCAUGCACGAAAGCGUGGGUAGCAAACAGGAUUAGAUACCCUGGUAGUCCACGCCCUAAACUAUGUCAACUAGGUGUUGGGUGGGUAAAACCAUUUAGUACCGUAGCUAACGCGUGAAGUUGACCGCCUGGGGAGUACGGCCGCAAGGUUAAAACUCAAAGGAAUUGACGGGGACCCGCACAAGCGGUGGAUGAUGUGGAUUAAUUCGAUGCAACGCGAAAAACCUCACCUACCCUUGACAUGCCAGGAACUUGCCAGAGAUGGCUUGGUGCCCGAAAGGGAGCCUGGACACAGGUGCUGCAUGGCUGUCGUCAGCUCGUGUCGUGAGAUGUUGGGUUAAGUCCCGCAACGAGCGCAACCCUUGUCGUUAAUUGCCAUCAUUUAGUUGGGCACUUUAGCGAGACUGCCGGUGACAGACCGGAGGAAGGUGGGGAUGACGUCAAGUCCUCAUGGCCCUUAUGGGUAGGGCUUCACACGUCAUACAAUGGUCGGUACAAAGGGUCGCCAAGCCGCGAGGUGGAGCCAAUCCCAGAAAGCCGAUCGUAGUCCGGAUUGCAGGCUGCAACUCGCCUGCAUGAAGUCGGAAUCGCUAGUAAUCGUGGAUCAGCAUGUCACGGUGAAUACGUUCCCGGGUCUUGUACACACCGCCCGUCACACCAUGGGAGCGGGUUCCGCCAGAAGUAGGUAGCCUAACCGUAAGGAGGGCGCUUACCACGGCGGGGUUCGUGACUGGGGUGAAGUCGUAACAAGGUAGCCGUAGGGGAACCUGCGGCUG
rnacentral:rRNA from 1 species